GCCAUAGCUCAGUAGGUAGAGCACAUGUUUUGCAUGCACAAAGCUGCAGGUUCAAUCCCCAGCAUCUCCA